GGCAGAGGCAAGGCUGGGGCAACGGCACGUGUGCCCACAGAGAGGGCUCCGAGUGCUGCCUCUGGCACCCAUGCCAUAGUUUCACCACCACUGUACUAGUUAUUAUAUUGAUAUGGUGCAACACCAUAUUACUGAUCACAAGGGGAAAAAGAGCACCCAAAGGGUCACUUUUCUUCAUGGCAGGUAGUAAUCUUGCCUCAGCAAACAUUUAAUAUUAUCAGAAGGAACUCAUCAGACGUUUGUUACACUUCUUUCUUAUCAUCCCAUUAUCUGCAUAUGUUGAUCCAGCAUGACUCUAUAGUGCUACAUUUAAACGAUUUUAUGAGUUUCAUUUUUCCAUGUCGUUAGUACAACUGAGAGAAACAUGCUGCCUUCAAUGUACCAGUUCCAAUAUUUCUUAGCAGGACCAAAUAUUUACAAGGUAAUACUCUAAACUAGCUACACUAGAGGCAGCGACUAGCCCUUUGGUGGAGCGAGUGUCUUGUUGAUAGAAGAGGGGAAGAAGGAAACAGAAAGAGAGCCAGGCGAUGACAUUUAUAUCUUUUAGGAUCAUUUUUCACGCCGUAUUUAAAGGACUGGGGAUUGCUGCAACCAACGGUGCUAUAAAUAAGACUUUACACCAACAUUCAGGGUACUCGGCUGGCUUGAGAAGCAACUCCCGUACUUCACUGAUAGCCCUACGUGCAAAACUCGGGUCCAGAAGCGGAUGAAACCGCGAAAGAGCCGGUGGGCAUCGUAAGCACGCCAGCCGUCCCGCAAGACCUCCAACUCUCUGCUGGAAAGGAAGUCGGGCAGCUGCUCUUUCUUCAGCUGCGACUUAUACGCUUUCUCCCCGUCGGCCACGAGGACCUCCAGUGCCCGCCGUUGCUCCUCGCUGUAGUAGUAUCGCGGAUUAUGUUCACUGACCCGUUCGUUCACGUUUUGAACUAUGGUGCUGGAGAAGACUCCUGCAAGUCCUCUGGACUGCAAGGUUGAAGGUUGCUCUGGUUAUCACAGAAAUAAGAAAGAAUACUGGGUGAUAAUUUCCUUUUUUGCGUGUGUGUGUGUGUGUGUGGAGAAACUACAACAGAAAGAGAACCAGUACGUGGCUCAGACCUGACCUUAGGGAAUAGGGUUCCUGGCCUACCUUGUUUCAACUGCCUGUUCCCCUGAGUUUGCAGAAAUAAGGACAUCUGCCAUCGGAUUCCAGUAGCCACAGAAACAAAUAUGAACUACUUAUGCCUUUUAAAAACAGACUGCAUUAAACAUUUGGAGUUCAUGUCUGAAAUAAAUAGAAAAAAUAACUGUC